rnacentral:rRNA from 1 species
UACACGAGCGGCGAACGGGUGAGUAACACGUGAGCAACCUGCCCCUGACUCUGGGAUAAGCGGUGGAAACGCCGUCUAAUACCGGAUACGACCCGCCACCUCAUGGUGGAGGGUGGAAAGUUUUUCGGUCAGGGAUGGGCUCGCGGCCUAUCAGCUUGUUGGUGGGGUAACGGCCUACCAAGGCGAUUACGGGUAGCCGGCCUGAGAGGGCGACCGGCCACACUGGGACUGAGACACGGCCCAGACUCCUGCGGGAGGCAGCAGUGGGGAAUAUUGCGCAAUGGGCGAAAGCCUGACGCAGCGACGCCGCGUGGGGGAUGACGGCCUUCGGGUUGUAAACCUCUUUUACCACCAACGCAGGCUCGAAGUUUUCUUCGGGUUGACGGUAGGUGGGGAAUAAGGACCGGCUAACUACGUGCCAGCAGCCGCGGUAAUACGUAGGGUCCGAGCGUUGUCCGGAAUUAUUGGGCGUAAAGAGCUCGUAGGCGGCGUGUCGCGUCUGCUGUGAAAGACCGGGGCUUAACUCCGGUUCUGCAGUGGAUACGGGCAUGCUAGAGGUAGGUAGGGGAGACUGGAAUUCCUGGUGUAGCGGUGAAAUGCGCAGAUAUCAGGAGGAACACCGGUGGCGAAGGCGGGUCUCUGGGCCUUAC